rnacentral:rRNA from 1 species
AAAGGCCCUUCGGGGUACUCGAGCGGCGAACGGGUGAGUAACACGUGAGCAACCUGCCCUUAGCUCUGGGAUAGCUCCGGGAAACCGGAAUUAAUACCGGAUAUGACACCGGCCGACAUCGGCUGUUGUGGAAAGAAUUUCGGCUAGGGAUGGACUCGCGGCCUAUCAGCUAGUUGGUGGGGUAACGGCCUACCAAGGCGACGACGGGUAGCCGGCCUGAGAGGGCGACCGGCCACACUGGGACUGAGACACGGCCCAGACUCCUACGGGAGGCAGCAGUGGGGAAUCUUGCGCAAUGGGCGAAAGCCUGACGCAGCAACGCCGCGUGGGGGAUGAAGGCCUUCGGG